AAAGUAAGCAAGGGCAGACGGUGGAUGCCUUGGCUCUCGGAGGCGACGAAGGACGUGAUAAGCUGCGAAAAGCUCGGGGGAGGCGCAAAUAGCCGUUGAUCCCGGGAUAUCCGAAUGGGGCAACCCGGCAGGCUGAAGGCCUGUCAUCCCGUAAGGGAGGCGAACGUGGGGAACUGAAACAUCUAAGUACCCAUAGGAGGAGAAAAUAAACAAUGAUUCCGUAAGUAGUGGCGAGCGAACACGGAAGAGCCCAAACCCAUGUCGUCUAGGCGACACGGGGGUUGUAGGACCACGACGUGGCAAGAUAGAGUCAAGUGGAACGCCUUGGAAAAGGCGGUCAUAGAGGGUGAAAACCCCGUACACGACUGACGAUUGAAGCCUAGUGGUAUCCUGAGUAGCGCGGGGCACGAGAAAUCUUGCGUGAAACAGCGGGGCCCAUCCCGUAAGGCUAAAUACUCCCGAGAGACCGAUAGCGAACCAGUACCGUGAGGGAAAGGUGAAAAGAACCCCGAGCAGGGGAGUGAAAUAGACCCUGAACCCGUCUGCCUACAAGCGGUCGGAGCAUAGCAAUAUGUGACGGCGUGCCUUUUGCAUAAUGAACCUACGAGUUACCUUCCCCGGCAAGGUUAAGUACCUAAGGUACGGAGCCGAAGCGAAAGCGAGUCUGAAGAGGGCGGCCAGUCGGGGGGGGUAGACGCGAAACCGAGUGAUCUACCCUUGGCCAGGUUGAAGGUUGGGUAACACCAACUGGAGGACCGGAUGGGUAAGCGUUGAAAAGCUUUCCAAUGAGCUGAGGGUAGGGGUGAAAGGCUAAUCAAACUCGGAGAUAGCUCGUACUCCCCGAAAUGCAUUUAGGUGCAGCCUCUUUAUAGUAUAUCGUGAGGUAGAGCGACUGAUUGGAUGCGAGGGCUUCACCGCCUAUCAAGUCCAGAUAAACUCCGAAUGCGCGAUAUAUAUUUAAAGGGAGUGAGGGCGCGGGUGCUAAGGUCCGUGUCCGAGAGGAGAAGAAUCCAGACCACCGGCUAAGGCCCCCAAAUGAUCGUUGAGUUGAACUAACGAGGUCGGAUCGCAGAGACAGCUAGGAUGUUGGCUUGGAAGCAGCCAUUCAUUUAAAGAGUGCGUAACAGCUCACUAGUCGAGCGAUCUGGCGUGGAUAAUAAUCGGGCAUAAACGAUCUGCCGAAGCCGUGGAUGUCGUAAGACAUGGUAGGGGAGCAUUCCAUGCGGCGUCGAAGAUGAGGGAUGACCCUUGUUGGAGCGCAUGGAAAAGCAAAUGUAGGUAUGAGUAACGAUAAGGGGGGCGAGAAACCCCCCCGCCGAAAGACCAAGGUUUCCUGAUCAACGCUAAUCGGAUCAGGGUGAGUCGGGACCUAAGGCAAAGCCGAACGGCGACGCCGAUGGAAGAAUGGGUUAAUAUUCCCAUACUGCCUCAUGGAGUGACGUGGAGACGGAGAAGUGACAGUCCUGCCGGCUGACGGAAUAGCCGGUUGAAGGGUGUAGAUAUUGAUUCCCGUAGGCAAAUCCGCGGGGAGAGUCGAACCUGACAGUAUACCGAGUACUUGUACGAGGUAAUAUGGACGUAACCAUGCUCCCAAGAAAAUCCGCUAAACUUAUCCAUGCGGCACCCGUACCGUAAACGGACACACGUGGUCGGGUUGAGAAUACUGAGGCGCUCGAGUGAUUCACGGUUAAGGAACUAGGCAAAUUGACCCUGUAACUUCGGGAUAAAGGGUCCUCGUCGUAAGGCGAGGCGCAGAGAAUAGGUCCAGGCAACUGUUUAACAAAAACACAUGGCUAUGCUAAAUGGAAACAUGACGUAUAUAGCCUGACACCUGCCCGGUGCUGGAAGGUUAAGAGGAGAUGUCAUCGCAAGAGAAGCGUUGAAUUGAAGCCCCAGUAAACGGCGGCCGUAACUAUAACGGUCCUAAGGUAGCGAAAUUCCUUGUCGGGUAAGUUCCGACCUGCACGAAUGGUGUAAUGAUCUGGACACUGUCUCAACCGUGAGCUCGGUGAAAUUGUAGUAUCGGUGAAGAUGCCGAUUACCCGCGAUGGGACGAAAAGACCCCGUGAACCUUUACUAUAGCUUUACAUUGAAUUUGGGCAGACGAUGUGUAGGAUAGGCCGGAGGCUUUGAAGGGGGUACGCCAGUAUCCUUGGAGCCGCCGUUGAAAUACGGCCCUUCGGUUGUUUGAGUUCUAACUCCUAGGCAGGAGGACACUGUAUGGUGGGUAGUUUGACUGGGGUGGUCGCCUCCAAAAGCGUAACGGAGGCUUCUAAAGGUGCCCUCAGACCGAUUGGUAACCGGUCGCAGAGUGUAAUGGCAUAAGGGCGCUUGACUGGGAGAGAUACAACUCGAUCAGGUAGGAAACUAGAGCAUAGUGAUCCGGUGGUUCCGCAUGGAAGGGCCAUCGCUCAAAGGAUAAAAGGUACUCCGGGGAUAACAGGCUGAUCAUUCCCAAGAGCUCAUAUCGACGGAAUGGUUUGGCACCUCGAUGUCGGCUCGUCACAUCCUGGGGCUGGAGAAGGUCCCAAGGGUUGGGCUGUUCGCCCAUUAAAGUGGCACGCGAGCUGGGUUCAGAACGUCGUGAGACAGUUCGGUCUCUAUCUAUCGUGGGCGCAGGAGAUUUGAGGGGCUCUGACACUAGUACGAGAGGACCGUGUUGGACGUACCACUGGUUUACCGGUUGUCCCGCCAGGGGCACCGCCGGGUAUCUAAGUACGGAUCGGAUAAGUGCUGAAAGCAUCUAAGUACGAAGCCGGCCUCAAGAUUAGAUCUCCCUGAAGGGUGGUUAUAGACGAUGACCUUGAUAGGCCACAGGUGUAAGGGCGGCGACGUCCGAGCCGAGUGGUACUAAUAGCCCGGGACUUUCCUCA
rnacentral:rRNA from 1 species